GUCGAGCCGGUGCUGCCGCGGCCACCGCCACCGCCCAGGGGCUCCGGGGCUGUGGGGAGCGGCUGAACUCAAUACCGCCUCCGCGCUGACUGGAAGGCACUGCGGCCGCGCCUGCCUGCCCCACCUCGUAAGGGCCUGUGACCUCACGAGGCCAGCCGCCGGGCGCUGCAUUCGAGCGGUGGGGCUCCUGUCCGUGCGCUUUCCUCCCGCAGCCCCGGCCGGGAUUCCGCCCUCCGUCCUUGCCACCCGCUCGCCACUCUUCCCUAAUCGCUGUUCAUUCUCCGGUGCGCUGUCCCGCCAUGGUCUGACCCCACUUCAAUCUUACCUUCGGUCCGUCCUUUGAACACCCCGACCCCCGACCCCUUUCUUCCAAAACAUUCCAUCCUUCUUGGCUUCUGCUACUCAAUAAUGGACAGCAGCUCGAAGGCCAUGUGUCCCACGGCUUUGCUGAAAUUUGUCUCGGGUUGCCUUUAAGGAGACUGUCGUUUCCUUUUGAAAGAGAUACUUUGAACUUCAGAUUGAAAAGCAUGUACUUGAGUAGCUGUAUUUAAGGAAUUACACCCAAGAAGUCUCAUCUUCCCUGGACUUACGUAGAGGAUAAGAUUCUGAACUUUGAAUUGAUGCUAUAAUGGGAUAAGACUUUGGGGCCUUAGAAGGGGAGAACAAAGGCCAUGAAGGUGUUAAAGGGAAGCAAGCGAUCGACAGCAUUGGUUGGUGACAAACCUGUG
rnacentral:lncRNA from 1 species